rnacentral:misc_RNA from 1 species
GUGAAUAUCAAGACUGUUGGAGCAGAUUUCGAGCCCACUGAUGGGGAACGGUUGCCUUUAGCCGUGAAGGAGCUAGGGAGCUGUGAUCUUUACCCACAAAGCUUGAAGCAUAAUCCCAAUGGAAGAUUUGUGGUCGUUUGUGGGGAUGGAGAGUACAUUAUAUAUACAGCUUUAGCAUGGAGAAAUCGCUCCUUUGGCUCUGCUUUGGAAUUUGUUUGGUCAUCUGAUGGUGAAUAUGCGGUUAGGGAAAGUACAUCAAGGAUAAAGAUAUUUAGUAAAACCUUUCAGGAGAAGAAAAGUAUCCGGCCCACCUUUUCUGCGGAGCACAUUUUUGGGGGAACUUUAUUGGCCAUGUGUUCUAAUGACUUUAUCUGCUUUUAUGAUUGGGCUGAAUGCAAGUUGAUACGUCGAAUUGAUGUUAAUGUCAAAAAUCUCUAUUGGGCUGACAGCGGUGACCUAGUGGCAAUUGCUAGUGAUACAUCGUUCUACAUUCUCAAGUAUAAUAGAGAUGUUGUUUCUUCUCAUCUGGAAAGUGGGAAUCCAGUGGAUGAGCAAGGCGUUGAGGAUGCAUUUGAGCUUCUUCAUGAAAUAAG